rnacentral:lncRNA from 1 species
AUGGCACAGGGAGGAUGUGGACCAAACUUGACAGCAGGUCCGGCUGGUUCAGAAGGGAGGUUUUCUUCCCAGCAAGUCCAGGCGAUCUACAGACUUGACCCUGGCUGCCCCUGGGACGGCAGCAAGGGAGAGAAACGGAAUGGGUGGAGCAGGAGGCGGAGGAGGGUCGGGGUGGAGGACUCACCGCAGCACAAGGCAAACCAGACCGCACAGCCUUGCGCCUCGGGCAGGCUUAGCAAUGGGCAGGUCGCUGCGACCGCAACCUCAAGGGUGGAGCAGCCAGCUGGGGCGAGUUCGGAGGCUGAGGGCACCCUCAGGGAUGGGCGGGAAAGCUUCAGGCCAACAGAGAGCGCAGGUGACAAGGUUGUUGAGUUCUUAGCAUGCUUUUGGCCACAUCUGUUCAACAGCCCGGAGAGCAACCCUGGCCAGAGCCUCACACCAAGGAAUUCCUGGACUCAGCUUCUACUGGAAGAAAAAACCCUGGAAGGCAAGAGGACACCGUGGGAGGCGGCAGCACCUUCCUCUCAUUUCCCAGUGUUUCUCCCAUUGUGCUCUUUGUCAGGAGAGGAGACGGUGGGAAGGGAAAAGCUCUCGUCAAGAAGAAUGACAAGAGAAGUGAGGGGGCCUUGUCUCUUCGAAAUCUGGAGUGUAGGAGCGAUUCCUGAGGUGUUCCUGUUUUCCUCUUUCUCAUCUUCACGUAGGGGCAUUGGGGGCUAUGUAUCCAUCGGUGCUCCGGCUGCUUUUCUAGAAACAGGCCUCUUUAGUUCUCAAGUAGAGAAGAGGGAGCUGCAAAGUGAGCUCGAGGCCAGCCUGAACCGCGAACCGCACAGCGAGACCCUGUCCCAGAAAGAAAAAAGAAAAAAAAGAAAGAAAGAAAAGGAUAGAAGAGGACAGUAUUGCACAUGGCAAGGCCCUCAAAGACCUGUAGUUUUGAGGGAGGGCUGUCCUUUGCUUGUUCUCUGCCUGGGUCAGCUCACUGCUGGGGAAUUCGGGUGCAUUCAUAGGCAGCAGCAUGUCAUGCCUACGCCCACGACCCGUGGAGCCUUCUCUGGUGCUGCUCCGUGGCUGGAGGAGACACUGGCACGGUGACCCCUGGGAUCCUCACAGGUAGUCUCCUUGGUAACACCGACUUUCCAUUGCAAUAAGCAGGGCUCGAGGGAGAUCGGCUGCCCAUAGCUGGACACACAGAGAGCUCACACCUCGCCCGCUGCUCUGCAGUUGCUGGGCCCUGUUUAACGCCCAGUGCAGCAGGUCAGGUGGAGGCCAGCUGCCUAAUGAACCUCUAAAUUAAAACCAUAUCGCACACUGAGCAUGAUAAAUGCCUUAUCUUUGGGGUCUGUCUCACUGAUGUGGACUCAUUAACUUAUACAGCACAGUCAGCUCUCAGAGCCAGGAGCAGAGAAACUGGAGGGUUUCAGAAGCAGCUUGUUGAUGUUUUUGUUUGCUUCCUUUAACCUCGCAUGGUGGACUUCGUGUUGGAAGACUGAGGAUUCUGGCCCAUGAGGAGCGAGGUUGGCGCUCAGAAUGACUAUCUGAGGAGUGGGAGCGGGCUUGCACGGCUGAGCCCACUGUGUCCUGGGGCCCUGGGUAAUGCUCACCAUCGCGCAGGAAAGCAGGGAAGACUAGAGGCUCCCUAGGGCUUGGCCUUGUGACCGAACCUCAGCCUGGAGGCGCUCCCUGCUGAAGCGUCAACACCUCUCCUUCGGCUCAGCGCUGCACACAGAGCUGUGGGAAACGAGAGCUGCCGGAAAUGGGAGGUCACCGAAGGUCUGAAGUUCAGUUGAACAAUAAAUGAUAAGGACAAUUUACCAAUUUUAUGAUAAGGACAUAUUUAAACAUUUAAUUGAAGCUAAUAAUAAAACUGAAUGCACUGUUCUCAGAUCAAGCUCAACUCAUUGAGUUUCUCAUGUUAUUAAAAGGAUUAAGGAUUUCCUUAAAAAUAAUAUUUCCUUUGAAGCAGAUGCUGUGUUGACUGGUAGUUAAAUUUUCUGAAUCUUAGACAUUUAGCAUCACUUUAGCUAAUUAGCUGCACUGCUUUAAUUUCCAACUACCGUGCCUUUGAGCUCUGUCUGGCUGCGUUGUGGUUUAUUUCUGGACGACGUCUCUCCCUAAAGGCUCACGUGCUCGUGGGUGGGGCUUCGCGGGUGUGAUCCUCAUCAAUGCAUCAGUCCGCUGAUGAGCUUUGGCUAAACGUGAUGUUGGGGGGAGGCGGGUCACUUCCGUGUUCGAUCGCGCUCUUUCUCUGCUUCCCACCGCCGGGCUAUGCGCUGUUUUUUCUGCCACUCCCCUCUGCCAAACUACCUUACCUUGGAGCCAGUGGACUAUGGAUUGAAAUCUCUACAAACUGUGGGCCAAAAUAAACUUCUCCUUCCUUAAAUUGUGCUUGUCGGGUAUUGUGUCCCGGCGGCCAGAAAGGAACUAAGACAGGCUAUCAUGUUGAUAUUAGUCUAACAGGAAAUUUGCUAAAAGGCCAAUAUGUUGAUUGCCUUGAGAAAGCUGUGGAAUUACCAUAGGUAGUAUUCCCCUCGCUAUAAGUGGGUGACUAUAUAUUGUUCAAACUGAGACACCUCUGAGAAUAACAGGAAGCUACAUUAACCCUUGUUUCAGAACACGGGUAAACUAGGACCUUCUUACCUAUAAGGCAAGUUCUUUUCCUUCCAAGUUAUUUCUCAAAAGAAGGGAGAUAUAGAUUUAAAAAUAUACAUGGCUAUAAACAUAGGUAGUAUUGCAGUUCUCACAAAGUUUCUCAUAAUCUAGGUCAUUUCAAGUUCUUUUUUAAUAAACAAAAAUCACAAAACACUGUAUAAUGAAGAUUCAGUACUCUGAAAUUAUCCAAUUACUGCUAGUUUUACAUUUUUCUAGAAAGCAGAUAAUAGAAAUGAGUUUUUAGAAAGAGAAAUAGAAAUUUGACACAGACUUAGUGAUUAUUCUGGAGAGUAGCCCCUCAAAAUUUCAAAUUCUGAUGUUGCAAACUCUUAAAAAAACAAAAAGGAAAAUGGAAAAAUGAUUGUUUCGUCAACUUACAGGAUAAGUAGAAACUCUUACUAUUGAAAAAGUUUAUGGUUUGGAAGAAAGUUUUCAGAAACAUUAUCAAAUGUGAUUUCAAAAAUGGCUGUGUUCCAAAUUACUGAAGAGUGCUUUGGACAAUUCAGUAAAAGAUAAAAAAUUUGCCAUUGUGAUAAGGGAGACAAUGAAGUUGGAAAAUAUAUGAGGAGUACGAACAAAACCAUUCUGAAAUAUGAUGUUGGGAAACAUUCCAGAUUAAGCAUUAUUUUGUAUAAUAUGAUUAUAAAUAUCAUGUAUAAUUCAGUUAACAAAUUAAAUACUAUGAGUAGACAUUUGAAUAUUUCAUCCAUGUCCUUAAAAAUUUAUAUAGUGUAUUAAAUUGUCCCAAAUCUUUUUUGGAUCUACUUACAAGGAAUCAUUUCUGUGUGUGUGUUUUCUUACAUCUAGGUCAUAGUCUAUUUGUGCUGCUAAAACAUAAUACCUGAGACUGAGUAAUACAUACAGAAGAGAACUUGGUCUCUUACAGUUCUGAGAGCUGGCAGAAUAGAUGAGGGCAUCCAUAGUUCUGGUUGUCUGGUGAGGGUCUUGCCUGUGCUUCCAAGAAGGUGCCUUGAAUGCCAUAUCCUUCAGGGGAGAUGAACUCUGUAUCCUUAUGACGCAGCCAGCAAAAGGGCAAAAGACACAAACUCCAUCAAGUCCUUAUAUAAGGGCCUCUGCUCCCAGGUGUGUAGGUGAAGCCUCAUGACUCAGUCACUCCCAAGAGCCACACCUCCUAACAAUACUGCACUGGGCAUGAAGUGCCAAUAUAAACUACGGUGGGGACAAACCAUUGAAGCCAUAGUGCUAGGCAUAUGUGUACUCACAUAUAGGUCUGUGUUCUGUGUAGGGGUGUCAAGGCAAGUUCCUGAGGUUAAAGCUGAGGGGAGAAGUAGUUCUCCUGACUUCCUGUCUGGGGAGAAAAUUCAUCAGAACACCAGGUAGUAGGAAAAUUUUAAGCCUGUGUGAUAUGUCUUUCUUGUCUUGAGCAUUGUUGCUAUCUUACAGAACCACCAUCACAUAUGCAGUAAGAGAUUGAGUGCAAGCAGGUCCUAAAGAUUGGUAGUUGACUGCUAGAGUUUUUACAGCCAAAAUUCUGUCCUGGCUAUGAUGGAUGGCCAAGAGACAGUUUCUUUCUGUCACAGUUGUCUGAAAGGCAGACUCCAGUGCUAAUUAAUUUGUUGUUAAGGUGUCCUGGAAUCAUUAUUAAAAGCAAGUCACUACGAACCUGCAAAGGAGGCUGUGAUGGCCUGAUGUCUUCUGGUAUCUCAGGAGGGCAGAAUCUGGGGAGGGCUGACAGUCACACUCUUGCACUGCCCAGCUCUGCAACUUCAAGUGAGACUCUUCAGCUUUUCAAGGAAGUUAGAGGGGUUCUUUCCAGAGUGAAUGAUCCCUCUUUUUUAAAAAAUGUAAAUAAAAAGAAAAGGACAACAGUAUUUAAACCAAAUAAAUGAUAUAGAAAACAAAUACGUCAGAAGUAAAAGGAAACAAAAGGCCAAUGUGGGCUAAAGUGAUGAAGGAACCCUGUGAUUUGUGGGCUCUCAGGACAAAAGGAAACCAGGUCUUCCAUUAGUUGUGGACUUCAGCUUUGUAGAUUUGUGAGUAGGAAGUAAACUGAGGGCCUGUCUUAGUUACUUUUCUCUCAUUGCUGAGACAAAAUACCCGAUACCCAACGUUAAAGCAGGAAAGAUUUAUUUAGCUCACAGUUGGUAGAGGUUUUAGUCUAUCAGCUGGCUCUGAGGCAAAGUGGCUUGGCAGGGAGCAACAGUUCAUGGUGGCAGGAGGAUAGCAAAAGCACCAAGAGAAGAAGGAAACAAGCUUCUUUCUGCCCCCUAUAUUGUAUCCAGCCUACCAGGCUGAGGGCAGUGCCAAUCCAAUCAGUGGACUGAUCAUCCACCAUUAAUCCCAGAAUUGCACCAUGAAUCAGUCACACACUCUAGAAUCAUCUACCUCUGAAAAAGCCCUAUGUAAAACUGCCUGAGGCUUUGGAGGGACAUCUAGACCCAAACCACAACAGGGCCUGAGAGGAGCAGUCACUUACUUAACAUUGUACAGUUGCCUGAAGGGGCCUCAGGAACCAAAGGACCUGUCCACUAGAGUCCUAAACCUAUGUCAGGUGUUGUGGAAGGGUUGGGGAGAAGUAAAUCAUCUGUUCUUGAUAGCCUUCCUCUAAACUGUGAAGACUCCAUUCUCAAUUUGUCCCUUUAACGGAACUUCAGAGAUGUUGAGGCACAGGGACCAGGCUUGGGGAUAGGCAAGGGGUGCACAGAUGGGGAACUCGGGGCGCUGAGCUACUGCCAGGAUCCCUGAAGUUAGUUUGCUCACUCCCCUCCUUUUCACUGAGGACCUGCAGAGGUGGUACCAGUUUGGAAGCAUAUGGCUUUGCACUCUUCCUCCUACCUUGCUGUAGUGAUCUGUACCACAAACAGCUGGCUAAUCAGUUAUUGGACUUCAUAGAACUCACUCAAACAACAAGUUUACCAUUGGAAGGCUAUGAGAUACAACUGAGAAACUAGAUUUUACAUCUGCUACCAUCCAGGAGAUUGCAAUUUCUCCACCCCUGAUUUUUUUUUUUUUUUCAGUGCUGGGGAUUGAACCCAGGACUUAGUGCAUACUAGGCAAAUGAACGACAUUCUCAAACCAUUUUUGUGUCUUUAAAAUUGGAACUCACAAGAAAUCAAAUCAUAACAAAUGCUAGUGGGACCUGGAGAAAAAAAAGCAACCCUUCUACAUGUUGGUGGGAAUGUAAACUAGUUCAACCACUGUGGAAAUCAGUAUGGAGAUUCCUCUAACAACAACAAAAAAAGGCACCUAGAAAUUCCAUUUGACCCAGCCAAUC